AUAAGGUCCUCAGCAGGUGUCUGGCUACCACCAGCUCCUGCGCCCUGCUUAGUGGGCAGGCAGGCCCUACAAGGAGCAAUACCAGUUGCCUGGAGGAGCCACUGCAGAGGCCAUCACAGCCUCCAGUCACCCUCUGACUCUGAGGCCUGCUGUUCCAAGCUGUCACAAUCACCAAUAACAGAGCUCCACACUGAAGCCACUGGAGUCCCCACUGGGCCACCAGUGAUGCCGCAGCCACCAUCACUGCACUGGGACCAGACUCCUGCCACUGCCAGAGGAUGAGAAUGAAACUCUCUGGAUGCCUGGCUUGAUGUUGCCACCUACAGACUCCUCAGUUGCCUUUGCCACCACUGCCAUAACAGAACUUCAGACACCAAUACCUCCAAGCACAACACAUCUUCAACGAAUAGCUUAGCAAGACCUUCUAGAUAACUUGCAAGAGCUUCUCCAUCAGCACUUGUUUUUUUGCCUUGCACUUUUACUUUAUGGAGAGGGGCUUCUUGGCAAAAACAUAAUGGACCAAACWCUGGCAGUUGCAAUGAAGUUGGCCCCAGUACUGAGUGUCACUGUCUAGUAUCCAUGUUAAAGUCUGGUGGCAGCAGGGUGGAGCUCCAGAGUCUGGCAGGUGCAGGAGCAACAUGCAGUUGCAUCAGGUGUCCAUCCUCAGUAUAGGGGUUGGGCACCAGGUGUGGUGUAAAGUACAAUGACAUUGGGGCCUUGGUGGGCAUUGUUGGAGUCUAUCUGGAAUUUGGAAGUUUGAGUGUUGCACAAUGGUGGUGGCACCAUAAGAGUUCAGAAGCAGGGGCAGCAACAACAGGCAGUGUCCAGCAGUGAGCAUCUUCAUCCUGCAGAAGAUACGGGGGUCAAGCUGCAGGACAGUGAAAGUGGCAUCCAGUGGCCAUGUGGGGAGUCUGGUUGGCUGCAACGAAGAGUUCCAGGCUAGCAUGGCAGCAAGGGCAUGGGAUAGUGGUUGUCAGAGUGAUAAGGUAACCAGUAGCUGGGAUGUCCUCUGUGAUGGAGGCUCCAGGCCCUGGUCUUGUGCCUGGUCGACUGGCCUGCUCAUGAAGAAGAAUGUGGGAGGAGGUGGUACCCAGGCAGCUGCCCAGGACCUUAUGCUUCCCACAGCUGCCAUGUCUCGCUCUGUCCAUGAGCCCACUGUGUGUGUCUGCUCACCCCACAGCCUGAUAUAGCCUCUCUACUGAGGAACUAGGUUGUCUGCUAGGUUGGGGCGGUCUUGGGAGAGAACCUCACCAUCCCCAGACACUUCCUGCGUGGACUGUGGGUGCAGAAAGGAGAGGUCCUAGGACAUCUUCACCCCGAAAGUGCAUUUUUGUGGCUGGGGGUGGCUGAAGACCAAGACAGAGAACUCGUUGCCCUUAGWCUCCCACUGCCACCUGUGCCCUCCACCGUGUGCCACCCCAGGAUGCACUUGGAAGGUGAGUAUUUUCUAGGCCCCCCCACCUCCCACCACUGCACUCUGCUACCCUAGCCCAGGAGAGAUGUAGCUGGGGAGGGUGUGUGCCUUCUCCAAAGGCUGCCCCA
rnacentral:lncRNA from 1 species